UUCUGUAAUUUCUGCAGUAAUCUUUGUUCCUUCUUUCAAAUUUAUUUGAAUGUAUUAAUUUUUCUUUUAGUCUCUUGGGCUGUAUACUUACUAGUUCAUUUACCUUUAGUCUUUCUUUUAUAUGCUUUUCUCUUCUGACUACUGCUUGAUUACAUUUCAAAGGUUUUGUAGUGUUCCCUUUUAUUAUUCAUUUCUAAAUAGCUUAUAGUUUUCAUUUUGAUUCUUAAGUUUAAUGGGGCUCUUUUACCUAGGGGACUUAAAAAAAAAUUCUGAAUAGAUAGGUUUGGAGGUUUGGGAGGGGGGGUUAUUUUGUUAUCUUUUUGUGAUUAAUUUCUAUUUAACUAAAUGUAGGCCAAGAAUGUCACUUGUGUAAUUUUGCUUCUUGGUCUAUAUUGAGAGAUUUUCAUUGUGUGUUUCCAUAUGUCUAAAAAGGUUUAUUCAUAGUGUUUUGUAAGCCAAAUUGUGUGUAUAUAUCUGUGUUUCAGAUUGAGCUUGUUUUUUGGGUUUCUUAAAUUUGUAUAUCUUGGUUUUAUUAUUUGUGAAACCUGUUGGUUUAGGAGAUAGUUGAUUUAAUGUCCACGAUGAAGACUGUGAAUAUAUCCACUCCUCUUUGUAUCAGUUUUAACCUUACAAUUUCAAAGUUUGGAUAAUAGAAGUUCUAUGACUGAUAGUAAGUAUUUGAUAGCCCUUUUUCCAGCUCCCCUGUGUCAUUUUGUUUUACAUCUGAUUUUAAAACAGCAUAUAGCUAUCUUUAUUAUUUCUUUAUUUUUUCCCUUCAUUUUCUCUGUUCUGUUUCUGGAAUUCUUUUUAGAUAAUUAGAAUUUUUCAAAGUAUCUUCCACAUUUAAACUUUACCCUUGCAACACUUCUCUAGUAUGUGUUUUAGGCUGUGGUUCCUCCUAAAGAUUUCUUUUUCUUUCCAGAAUUUGUCAAAAUUUCCACGUCUUUCUCUUACCUUGUGGAUUUAUGUAGAGUGUCUGUGUAUGUGUUCUUACCUGCUUUCAUUUUAUGAGGAACGAUAAUUGCCAGUACUUAAUUUUCUGUCUGGAUCCAGUGGAAUCCCUUCUUGAUUUCAGCACUUAGAUUGUAUUCCUGCCCAUUUUUCUUUUCGUUUGCUUGGGGAAUGAAAGUUUCAUAAGCUUAUACUUAAUCAUCAUUUCUGACUGAGCCUUCCUGAGCUGCUUUGAAACAAAAAACAAAAACUGACUCUCUUUAGCGUGUCUGUUUUACACCACUACCGCUUAUCACGUAGUGGGAGGCACUUCAGUUCCUCAGAGCUUUUGUUGUCCAGUCCAGAGCAGCUCAUUGUACAGAAUCUUUAUUGUGGAUCUCAGUGACCAGAUCCAGUCCUUUCUUCCCAGUCCUCUUUCCCUAUGACUUCUAUGUGUCAAUACGUUCUGACUGGCCCUCGUGAGAGUUAGAAAAGGGUUUUCCUCCUAACUUUCUGAAUGUCUUUUAUUUUCACUGGUGGUUUUUCUUCUUUCACCCACUCCUUAAUUGGCAUUAUAACUUAAUGUAAGAGUUAUCAACUUUUUGUCCCCUUUCUAAAGGCAAGAAACAAUUUUACUGACUUCUGAACAGUGGAAAUUGUAGUUUUAGUAUCCAUUGAGAAAAGUUUAUAUAUAGCUAUAUAAACUCAUAAUAUACUUAAAUAGAGCCACAUCAUGUAUUUACACUGAUUUUCAAACGUACUCCCCCUGAAAGAUAUGACUCUACUAGUUUCUUUAAUCUCCACAGCAACCAAUAGUAUAAUAAGAUUGAAUAAGUAUAUAGAAGACAAAUACUUAAAUACAAUGAAGUAAAUCUUGCAAGAAGCUAUAUUUACCUGUCUUCCAUUCUCCAGUAUUUUCAUAGUUAUCUUAAAGGCAGAAUUGUUUGAAUACCCUGACAUCUAAAUAUACAUCCUUUUGUGCCUUUCAUAGGUUUAGGACAUUGAUUCUCAAAUUUUAGUGUGAGUAGAAAUCAUUGCUUUGGGUAAUGUAUGUAAAGCCAUGGGAGAUGUAAGGGAUUUUUUAAGGGUGCUUUUAACCAUACCUAAAUUUGUAUGGCAAUUUUAGAUUUGCCAUGCUCAGUAAGUUUUUAUUCUUCUCUACCUACACACAUUUGAAUGAUAUUACUACAUAUGUGGAAAAUACAUAUAUUGAAACUUUAUGUAGAUGUAAAUCUGUUCAGUCUGAUUCUCCAGAUGUAAAAGAAAGUAGACAAAAAGCCAAUAGAGCUUUCAAUUUACUGGCUCUGCAAAUGUAAUAGAAGUGGGAUCUUAGACAAGUUAUUUUACAUUUCUGAACUGCAGGUUACUCACCUGUAAAAUGGGAGUAGAUAGCCUUAAAAAACACUUCAAUGUAUAGUCAGUCAAAUAAAAUGCAGUGCAGAAAAAUGUAGAUGAUAAAGUCCUUAGUUACCAAUAAUUCAGUUAUUGGGAUAAUGAUUGGUCUUGAAAGAAAAUAUGUUUAACUGAAAAAGCAAGAUGCAGUUACGGGGAACUGAGAGUUACAUAUGGGUGUGUGUAUGUUUGAGUAUCUAUAUUAUAUUUACUGCUUUGGGACAGAGGUAGGGAAUAUCCAAACUGUGUUGCCAUCCUCGUCUAGGAUCCACCUUUGGUGGUUUCUCAAAUCCCUGACCUUUUCCCAUUGUCCAAAUUAUAGUUUAUCUUGCCCACUGAUCUUCUUGGAUUUUUUUCCAAUUUUAAAAAAUUGUGGUAAAAUAACCGCUAACAAAACUUACCAUCUUAACAAUUUUUAACUGCACAGUUCAGUGGUAUUAUUUACAUUCAUAAUGUACAGCCAUCGCCACUAUCCAUUUCCAGAACUCUUUUUGCAAAACUGAAACUCUGUACCCAUUAAACAGUAAUUCCCUACCCCCACCUCCUUCCAGCCCCUGGCAACCACCACUUAUCUGUCAGUGGACACUUGGGUUGCUUCCACAAUUUAGCUAUUGUUAAUAAGGCUAUGAAAAUGCAUGUUGCAAGUAUCUCUUCAACACCCUGCUUUCAGAUCUUUUGGGUAUAUACCCAGAAGGUGGAAUUGCUGGGUCACGUAGUAAUACUAUUUAAAAGUUUUUGAGGAGCCUCCGUACUGUUUUCCACAGUGGCUGUGCCAUUUUACAUUCCCACGAACAUUACACAGCUGUUCCAAUUUCUCCAAACCACACUAAUUCUGUUUUGAUUCCUACUUAUUAUAUCUCUGCUGCAAUCCUAUCCAAACCUGAAUCUAAGACUAAGCCCUGUGUCUUCUGCUUAUGACUUGUUAAACUUGAGCAUAUCCUUUUCAAUGGCCCAACUUGAUUAUACUGUAGAAAUACCGUUGUUUUUCUAAAUACUUAGGGUAUAGACCUUCAUGGAAUCUUAUUUAUCCCUCUUUUUAAAACCAGAAGACUUUUUUUUUUCCUUUCCAGGGCAGUGCAACCAUUGAAAAGGAUUAAAAUAAGUAGGCAACUUCAUAUUGAGUUAAGGAAAGAAACAGCCAUAAGUAUAUGGCACAAAUUCUGAAGAAUAUCUUCUAAAUAUUUUUGGACUAAAACAAGGUGAAUUCCAAGAGCAUCAUUAAAGCCUCAAGAAAGGACUUUCUAAAAGAAAGUGUCACCACAUUGAAAUGUCCACUUAAAGAUCCUCUGCCUCUAGAUGGAGAGAAAAUUGAUCUGAAAUUGAGAAAUGGUGAAGGGGGACAUAGCUGCACAGCCCACUUGCAGUUGGUGGCUGAAUUCGGCUGAGAGAAACACCAUGUGAAUCUCCAGAGAGUCAUGACAGAGGCUUCACUGUACCUCUUGUUCUGCAGGAGGUGAUGCAAAAACUGGGGAUAGAUGUACUCUUUCCUCCCGCUCCUUGGUAAGAGUGUAUUCUGAAACCCAAACUGAAGCUGUCAGCUACUUUCUUUACAAUGUCCUAGAUACUGUCAGCAGAGGGCCUGGAUAGAAUUGCCAUCAUCAGAAGAUGAAUAAUGAGCGGAAAGAAACCAACAGAGGAACUGAAUAGUCAUCACAACCCAACUGUACCUUUCUCAUCCCCCACCCUAUAAACCAACAAAAGGAACAAGAUAAGUAAAAGGCUAUGAAGAAUGUGUAUCAAGAGAAUAUUCCAGGAAAGAAGAUGCCAGACAUUCUCCACAUUCUCAAAGAAGCAAGAGAAACUGAACUCAAAACAGAGCUCAAAGAAGUGAUGAGAUUGAAGGGAUGAACACUAGCCUGCAAAUAGUUACAGAUCACAGUGUGUCAGGGAUCAACAUAAGGUAAAUCUAAUAGCUACGUAUGCUAAAUCCUGUAUCCUUGACAGAAUACACCUUUUCCAGCAACCCUGGGUUGUUUACAGAACUUGGCUCUCAUUCCAUAAAGAAUCUCAAAUUCCAGAAUUAAAUAUUAAAACCAAAGAAAUAUUUAA